rnacentral:rRNA from 1 species
GUCGAGAAUCUUUCACAAUGGGGGCAACCCUGAUGGAGCGACGCCGCGUGGAGGAUAAGGUCUUCGGAUUGUAAACUCCUGUCAUGCGUGAACAAGGUUGCUUGGUUAAUACCUGGGCAAAUUGAUGGUAACGCAAGAGGAAGAGACGGCUAACUCUGUGCCAGCAGCCGCGGUAAUACAGAGGUCUCAAGCGUUGUUCGGAAUCACUGGGCGUAAAGGGUGCGUAGGUGGCGUGGUAAGUCAGAUGUGAAAGCCCGGGGCUCAACCUCGGAACUGCUUCCGAUACUGCCAUGCUAGAGUACUGGAGAGGUGACUAGAAUUCUCGGUGUAGCAGUGAAAUGCGUAGAUAUCGAGAGGAAUACCAAAGGCGUAGGCAGGUCACUGGACAGUUACUGACACUGAGGCACGAAGGCCAGGGGAGCGAACGGGAUUAGAAACCCGAGUAGUCC